rnacentral:rRNA from 1 species
GAUGAACGCUGGCGGCAUGCCUAACACAUGCAAGUCGAGCGAACAGACGAGGAUCUCGCUCCUCUUACGUUAGCGGCGGGCGGGUGAGGAACACGUGGAUAACCUGUCUAUAAGACUGAGAUAACUUCGGGAAACCGGAGACAGUACCGGAUAAUAUAUAGAACCGCAUGGUUCUAUAGUGAAAGAGGGUUUUGCUGUCACUUGUUGAGGGUUCCGCGCCGGAUUAGCUAGUUGGUACGGUAACGGCUUACCAAGGCAACGAUGAGCAGCCGACCUGAGAGGGUGAUCGGCCACACUGGAACUGAGACACGGUCCAGACUCCUACGGGAGGCAGCAGUAGGGAAUCUUCCGCAAUGGGCGAAAGCCUGACGGAGCAACGCCGCGUGAGUGAUGAAGGUCUUCGGAUUGUAAAACUCUGUUAGUUGGGAAGAAGAGAUGUGUAAGUAACUAUGCACGUCUUGACGGUACCUAAAGAGAAAGCCCCGGCUAACUACGUG